rnacentral:antisense_RNA from 1 species
UGUUGUGGCGGCUGUGUGCAGGACGCCUUCGGGCGAGCUGAGUUUGAACUGUUCUCGGUUGACCAAGCCUGUACACGGCCGCCUCCCAC